rnacentral:sRNA from 12 species
UAUAGGCGCAGGGAGAAAUCCGCUGCGUACCCUGAGAAUCCGAAUGAAAGUUUAAGCGACUUUGUAAAGUCGCCGGUCUCGGGGGCCGCCUAUAAGGCGGUUUUUUUCUUA